AGGUGUUUCACAAUAUAAAGUGAUCAAACAAUUUUAUAUUUGUUACAUGAAAAGGUAGAGUAAAAAAUGGCUAAAACUCUCAAGGUUUUUUAUACUAUGAUCCUUUUUGUGUUCCUAUUUCUUGCUCUAGUCGAUGUUGAUGCUAUAACAUGUAAGUCAGAUAUCGAUUGUCUAAAUUUCGAGUGUCCCCUUAAUCGUCGUGGAUUUUGUAUAGAUGGUAUUUGUAGGUGCUCUUGGGGUACAACUACAAGUAAAGGUUAAAUUCAACAUGAUCAUGACAAGCAAUCAAUGGAGCUUUUCUUGUGGAACUAAAGUACUAGAGGCUUGUACUUCACUUUAUUUUUAAGAGUUUUUUUUUUUUUACUAUAGUUGAUUUUGUGGUAUGGGUAGAGAGAUCUUCAGACUUCAUACUCUAUGUAAUAAUUGUUUGUAUUGUUUAAGAUUUAGUGUUUUCACUUGCUUUAUUUUUUAGUUUUCAA